rnacentral:antisense_RNA from 1 species
CACUGCCCCCAUCCCGGGGCCCACCAUUACCAGCAGGGAGAGGGAGGCAGGUGAGCCCCCCGAGCCCCACGCCUCCUGUCGCGGGGACUCCCCAGACCCAAUGCUGUGCCAGUGCAGGCCAGGCAGGGGGCUGAGGCCAAGGCCUGGUCAUUGCCAUCCUGGUCACGAUCUGGUGAAGGAUUUGAGUCCAGAAGCCAAACGUCUACAGUCGUGUGGUGCGGACACUCAGGAUGGACUGCCCAGGCCAUGGGGGGCUCUGAGGGAUGAAGAGGAACCUGCGGGAGCGAGGUGGGCUGCACGUCUCUGAGAAAGUGCAUGAGUUGAGUGCUGCUGCAGAGGGAAGCUGGGGUCCACCGCUGGUGAGCGGGGAGGGGACGGGACACAGAACCGGCCGUGGCCCACCCCGAGAGGGAGGCGCAGACACCAGGCCCGUUCUGUGCUCUGGAGGCUUUGGGCAGCUGUCAGGCUAGUGGACCAUGUGCAGAGCAGACAGAGGCGUGAGGAGGCGGCUCUGGGGUCACCUAGGUGGGCAGCCCUCACAGGGGAGGCCGCGGGGGAGGGCAGGAGGGCGGAGCAGGCGGCGGUGCAGGAGGCCCGUGGAACUUGGAGGGCUCUGUGUCCAGCUCUCAUGGCCCCGGGCGGGGGCAGCUCCAAGGCCUCGGGCUUGGGGACAGAAAGGAGAGGACUUGGGGGUUGGGGGUGGUCAGAGCAUUGUGGGAGGGAUCUGGGGCAGCUGGGGCUUCCCAGAGGGUGAGGCGUCUGCUGGGAAUCGGGGCAGCCCCAGGCGUCCCCAGGCCUCCAGUCCAGCCCCGGUUCCUCCACGCUGCAGGCCAGGGUAUCAGUUGCCUGCUGGGAAACCUCAGGGUGCCUCUGGCUCAAGUGCCUGCCCCUGACACUCCUGGCCCUGGGCUCCCCCCGCCUCCCCGUCCGUCUGCUUUCCCCACCUCCCCGUCCGUCUGCUUUCCCCACCUCCUCCCCUCCCCUGGCCGUCUUUCUGCCUCGGGGAUGGCGUCACCUCUCACCCCAAAUCAGGACCCUGGGCCCCAGCUCUGUUCCCCACCUCACCUUCCUUGUGACCAACUCCUGACCUCCCAUGGGCUUGGGGUGUCUGUGGCCGGAACAUUCCUCAGACCCUCUCCUCCAGCCCCACUCUGUCCCACCACCCGGGCAUCCCCCACUUGGGUUCCAGCCCUCCAAGGGGCCCCACGCUCUGUGUCCAUGAUCAGGACACUCACACGCACCCAGCUCGCGCCCUUCCUUCCAGACAUUCGAGCUCUCGAAGCUCACAGCCACCCUAGCUUAGUGCACAGCCACAGCCCAGGCAACUUCAACAUCCCCACCUUCCAGGUGAGGAAACCGAGGCACCGAGAGCUGGGGGCCAGGCCAGGGGGUCUCCCUGGGGGGAGCAGAGGAGUGUCGGACCUCAGAAGAGGCUCUGGGGGUCUGAGCCGCCACCGGGCGCUGCCUUCCAGGUUCAGCAGGGACAGAGCUCAGGGGGAAGGCACCUCCCGUCCUGGUUCAAUACAUGGACCCCUGACCCGGGGAAAGGGACUGAGCCAGGGGAGGCCUCAGGUCACUGCACCAUGAAGUUGUGGGGAGCUGCGGGGGCCUCUGGGCUCUGAGCUGGGCAGGCACAGCGUGGGUACCACGUGCCGAGGGGAAGAAGCGUGCCAGGGUGGACGUCUCAGUGCACACGCAGGAACGUGAAACGGCUGAGCCGGCCCAGAGAGGCAGCGGAGCGUGUGCGGGGCGGCCGGCGGAGGAGCAGCAGGAUCCCAGGCGGGAGGGCACGGCCUUCUGAGAGGCAGGUUCCAGGACAAUACUCAGUGUUUCGAUCCAGGAGGUCCCAUUGUGGCGUUUCAUCAAUAAACGCACAUGCGAGGUGGAGGGUGGCUGGUGUGGAAUGUGCCCGGCAGCUUUCACAGCAAAGGAGAAUUCUAGAACCAACCGAAGUGCCCCUCUGAAGGGAGCUGGUCCCGUCCGUUCCAGCCGCCGUGGAGUAACACAGCCAGCAGUUUCCCUCCUGUCACGAAAGCUCGAGACUGAAACUCAGGAUGAACUGUUUUCAGCCAGGGUCACCCCAGCCCUGGGGUGGAGGCCCAUUGAGGAUGGCCGAGCAGGGGCGGGCGUCCAGGCAGGUCCAGCAGUCCUGGGGGGCUGAGGAGAAGGAGGUCAGGGCUCAGGGAGGCAUCCGCAGAGGGACCUGGCAGGCAGAGCUCCAGAAGGGCGGGAACUGCACAGACAGAAAGCUCCAGAAGGCUGCCUGAGGGUCUCUGAGGCCUCCGGAGUCAGGCGCCAUGCAUGUGGAAGGUGGACUCUUCAGCAUGGGUGGGACCCUAGGGGGCUGUGGACCCCCGGUCCCUGGGACUCACAGGUGGGAGACAGGAGUUCCGACCGCCAGGGGGAGAGUCCUGGAGGAUCCUGGGCUGUCGGCAGCCACCCAGCAGGGCCCGUCCUGGGAGGGGCCCUUCCUGCAGGAAAGGCUGGGCUGGACCUGCUCUGAGAGGCUUCAGAACCAGCCACACGAAGACCAAAGUGAAGAGCAAGGAGCUGAACUCCACGCAGAACACAGCGCAGCGUCCUUUAAAGGAAGGCCAAAAACAACCCAACAAAAAUGCCAGGUGAUCAAAGCCGUCACAGCACAAUGUCCACAUCCAACGAGAAAUUGCUGCUAUGUCCAGACGCAGGGAAAGGUGGCCGUGGGAACGUGAGUCAGCAGCAACAGGCCCAGAAGGGCAGCCAUGGUGGACUUGUCAGACGUGGACCCUGAAAUGACAAUCACAGCGUGAUUUCAGGCAGGAGCCUGAAAUGGUACAGCUUUGGACAUCGGUUUGGCAAAUUCUUUUAGAGAGAAACACACACCUUCCCUAGGACCCCGCAACUCCACUCCUAGUAACCAAGUGAAAUGGAAGGAGUUGUCCUCAGCAAAACGUGUGUGCGGAAGUUCACAGUCACUUUCUCUGUGAUAACCAAGAGCUGGAAACCACUGCAACACCCACCAGCAGGUGAACGGAUUAACACACUGGGCUAGGGCCACACAAUGAGAUGCUACGUGGCAACACAAAAUGAACCGUGGACACACACUGCAUGGCGGAUGAAUAUGCAGACAUCAGGCCACGUGAAGGGAGCCAGGCCCCGAGGCGCCACGCUUUGUGAUUCAGGGUGGUCCCGCUGCGCCCAAGACCCAGCUGCCUCCUCCUCUUCCUGGCUGCAGGGAGUGCUUGUGUCUGAAGAACGCCAGGCUGGUGUCCCCAGAGGGUGGCUGGAGGGGCUCAGAAACCAUUUUCACUUUCUGUCUCCUCCAUGUCUGCACUGUUUGGGUUUGUACCCGCCUGUGUUGCUUUUGCACGGGAAGUGAGAUGGAGAGACACGUGAACCACCAUUGCUGGGGUUCCAGCAUGGGGCCGCAGGGGACCCAUGGCUUUCCCAGAAGGAAGCUCUGCCACUGGACAGCCGGUCUCAGGCUGCUGCACAGGCCCCUCCCCGCCCUCAGCCCUGGCCUGCGGGAAUCAGGAAAGGGUGGGGUCCAGCUGCAUUGCGAAUGGACUAAAGCCACUGAUUUGCACACUUGCCAAUGGCUGAAAUGGUCAAUAAAACGUCAUGUACCUUU